GAUGAACGCUGGCGGUAUGCUUAACACAUGCAAGUCGAACGGUCACUUCGGUGAUAGUGGCGGACGGGUGAGUAGCGCGUGAGAAUCUGUCUUCAGGUCGGGGACAACAGUUAGAAAUGACUGCUAAUACCGGAUAUGCCUUAUGGUGAAAGAUUUAUUGCCUGAAAAAGAGCUCGCGUCAGAUUAGCUAGUAGGUGGUGUAAGAGACUACCUAGGCGACGAUCUGUAGCUGGUCUGAGAGGACGAUCAGCCACACUGGAACUGAGACACGGUCCAGACUCCUACGGGAGGCAGCAGUGGGGAAUUUUCCGCAAUGGGCGAAAGCCUGACGGAGCAAUACCGCGUGAGGGACGAAGGCUUUUUGGGUCGUAAACCUCUUUUUCUCAAGGAAGAUAAUGACGGUACUUGAGGAAUAAGCAUCGGCUAACUCUGUGCCAGCAGCCGCGGUAAU
rnacentral:rRNA from 1 species